rnacentral:rRNA from 1 species
UACGUAGGGUGCAAGCGUUGUUCGGAAUUACUGGGCGUAAAGGGCUCGUAGGCGGCCAACUAAGUCAGACGUGAAAUCCCUCGGCUUAACCGGGGAACUGCGUCUGAUACUGGAUGGCUUGAGGUUGGGAGAGGGAUGCGGAAUUCCAGGUGUAGCGGUGAAAUGCGUAGAUAUCUGGAGGAACACCGGUGGCGAAGGCGGCAUCCUGGACCAAUUCUGACGCUGAGGAGCGAAAAGCUAGGGGAGCAAACGGGG